ensembl:lncRNA
GGGGGACCAGGGCUCCUGCAAGAGGCUAUAGGGGAGGAGUAACUGGAGAGAGGGGCUGGGGACCAGCUGCAUGCUGGCGGUGAGCUCAUGCAGACGUGGUUGUGUGCCUCUAUGGACUUGUGGAUGAGGAGCUUAAGGGGAGACAGAUGAGUCCAUCCGCCGUCCAUGCCCUCCAUGGUGGGCAGUGUUGGUGCUGUGACAACCUGCCUCCAGCCAAAACGUGUGAGAGGUUGUGGGGGGCUGUUGGUGGUGACUCUGAUGUUCAUUAUGGUGUGGGCUGCAAGCACCAGUGAGGUCUGUACGUGCUUUCUCCUCCUUUGCACCCAACCCACCUCAGCCCCCGACCUGCAACAGACCUCCACCAUCCCCUCCUGCCCCUCUGUCCUGCUGCCCGCAUCCAUGGCACCCCUCCAGCCACUCAGGAGAGGGAUGGAGGGCACGGCCGAGUGGCUUUCCCUGCAGCUCAUUGGUAUUCUCCCCUUCCUCUUGAGACAAGAGAGAGCAAGAAAAGAAAACCGAACUGCUCUUGGUUAACGGGAAGGGCUGGUUGAGCUUAGAGGCAGAGAUGACCUGGUGGGGGAGCAGGAUGAGGCAUCAUCAGCCUCUCCCAUCGUUUCAAACCCAAAGAAGCCAGGGAUGUUGGGACAGCCGCCUGUCCUCAGUGGGAGGGAUGCUGGUACAAGUGAAGCCAUGUGCUGGGAUGUCCCCUGCCAGCAGUUCUGGUGGGUUGCACCUCUAUCACAGGCAGCAGUGAGGAGAAGGGAAAGGCUCUAUGCUCCUCCCUCCAUGGGGGCCCCCAAUGCUCUCAACCCCCUCGCAAUCUGAGCGGGGUAUAAGCAAGAGGAGCAGCACUGCCCCACAGGGUCUUCGUUUUCUUUUCUGCCUCCGGUAUUAAGCACCUGUUUUUGUCUCCCCCCCACCCCUCUCUCUGCCCCUGUCUAUUCUAGGCUGACGUCUGAGGUCACUGGAAUGGGCGCACUCUAAUUUCCACCCACCAUCCUCCACUCCGCACCACCCGACCCUCUCCAGCCACCGGCACCCAGCCUGUACUGCCUGUACUUUUAUCCCUUUGCCUCCACACGUGCUCUUUUCUUUACUAACGACUCUAAACAGACGUAUAAAUACACAUAUGCACACAACGGGAACGUUUCUUUACGAGCUCCUUACUGUGCUCCCGAGGCUGCUCCCAAACUCUUUGGUUAUGGUCCUUAUUUGCAGCGUACGGUGUUAUUGCUUCAUCUGCUUUUAUUUUGGGGGGUGGGGUGUUGGGUUUUUAUUCUUGCUGGGGAGACUUCAGGAGAUGACAGGGUCUCUAGUGUCAAUCUAGCAUAGUAGCUACUUACACGUUUGAGUUGAUGUUGGCGGUACUUGCUGUAGCCUAUGGACCUGUGACGCCGCCCAGAGCUGUGCGUGCUUCAGAGUACUUACUUCUCUCACACUUCUUCCUUUGAUGCUCCCUCUUCAUUUGCUUUGCUUGUCCCGGCUCACCUUUGCCACCUUGCAUCCCUGCCCUCAGGGUAGGGUGUAGUUUCCACCCUUUGGGAAGCAGAACAUGGAUGCGGGAGCCAACCCAAUGUGCAACCCGCAGCCUUCUCUCUUUGCCACAUGGCAGGGUCCAGACAAGCCAUUUUUCCUACUAAACGAAGGGAAUCACACCCACCCCUCCACAAAAAUAAUCCUCUUUUUUAACUAACAAAGCAACUGGAAGUGGGAAGAAUUCAGCUGUCCAGGAUUCACACCCCCAGGGGCAUUUGAAAGCACUCUUUUAACAACCCCCAUAGAGCAACCCCCUUGGACGAUAGCUCAGGAAGCUCUGUAAGCUGGCUGUGUUUGUCAUUUGUGUUCAAUAAAUGUCUGUGCAGCUCUGC